CAGGAAGCAGAAAGAAGGCCGGAACGGAGGACAGAAAAGCUAUAUCAGUGCACCGGGGGAGCUGUGGAUGAGUGUGCCUGAGAUUCCACCAAAGCCUGGAGAACUGAAGACAGAACUGCUGGGAUUAAAGUCAGAGAAAGCAAAUAAACAGACAAGCUAGCAGUCA